rnacentral:rRNA from 1 species
CAGCAGCCGCGGUAAUACCGGCGGCCCGAGUGGCGGUCACUAUUAUUGGGCUUAAAGCGUCCGUAGCCGGGGUGGGAAGUCCUCCGGGGAAUCUGGCCGCUUAACGGUCAGAAUGCCGGAGGAUACUCCCAGCCUAGGGAGCGGGAGAGGCCGAGGGGAUUCCCGGGGUAGGGGGGAAAUCCUAUAAUCCCGGGAGGACCACCUGUGGCGAAGGCGCUCGGCUGGAACGCGUCCGACGGUGAGGGACGAAGGCCAGGGGAGCAAACCGGAUUAGAUACCCGGGUAGUCCUGGCUGUAAACGAUGCGGACUUUGUGUCGGACAAGCUAUGAGCUUGUCCGGUGCCGGAGGGAAACCGUUAAGUCCGCCGCCUGGGGAGUACGGCCGCAAGGUUGAAACUUAAAGGAAUUGGCGGG